CCGUGCUAGGUGGGGAGCUAGCGGUUCCCUGUACCCGCAAUCCGCUCCAGCGGGGCUGAAUCCCCCUCCGAGACGCCGUCGAUCAGGAUCCGGCCGGUGCGCGCAGCAACGAGGGCUGGGUCCUGCGCAACGAGAUCUGACCAACCCCGCCAGAUCCGGAAGGAAGCAACGGUACG
rnacentral:SRP_RNA from 1 species